rnacentral:rRNA from 1 species
UGGGGAAUAUUGGACAAUGGGCGCAAGCCUGAUCCAGCCAUGCCGCGUGAGUGAUGAAGGCCCUAGGGUUGUAAAGCUCUUUCAGCGAGGAGGAUAAUGACGUUACUCGCAGAAGAAGCCCCGGCUAACUUCAUGCCAGCAGCCGCGGUAAUACGAAGGGGGCUAGCGUUGUUCGGAAUCACUGGGCGUAAAGCGCACGUAGGCGGACUUUUAAGUCAGGGGUGAAAUCCCGGGGCUCAACCUCGGAACUGCCUUUGAUACUGGAAGUCUGGAGUCCGAGAGAGGUGAGUGGAACUCCGAGUGUAGAGGUGAAAUUCGUAGAUAUUCGGAAGAACACCAGUGGCGAAGGCGGCUCACUGGCUCGGUACUGACGCUGAGGUGCGAAAGCGUGGGGAGCAAAACAGGAUUAGAUACCCUGGUAGUCCACGCCGUAAAACGAUGGAAGCUAGCCGUCGGGGUGCAUGCAUCUUGGUGGCGCAGUUAACGCAUUAAGCUUCCCGCCUGGGGAGUACGGUCGCAAGAUU